rnacentral:rRNA from 1 species
ACGUGUUACAAUGGCAGGUACAGAGGGGUGCUACCGGGUGACCGGAUGCCGAUCUCGAAAACCUGUCCCAGUUCGGACUGGAGUCUGCAACCCGACUCCACGAAGUUGGAUUCGCUAGUAAUCGCGCAUCAGCCAUGGCGCGGUGAAUACGUUCCCGGGCCUUGUACACACCACCCGUCAAGCCAUGGGAGCCGGGGGCGCCUGAAGUCCGGGACCGCGAGGACCGGCCUAAGGCGAAACUGGUGACUGGGGCUAAGUCGUAACAAGGUACC